AAUUCCCAUCGGGUCGCAAUUGUAAGCCUUUUCAGACCACUUGCCAUUAAAACUAUUGUAAGUGUUGAUACUUGAUAUAACAAAACAGGGAAAUGAGAAGUGAUGCCAAGACAGUCUCAUAACUUGGAUUAACUCCGCCUUUGUUCAUGACCACUGCUUUAGCCUCAGUUGGCUCACUUUAGUCCGAGAUAUUAGGCAGCCCGAAAAUCCCUGGCCAUUGGCCCCCGAGGAAGCCCCGACGGCCUGAUCAGGCCCCAGAAGUUACAGUGGAAAUGCAACUGGCCCUGGCACACACUAGCAUGCUACAUAUAUAUAUAUAUAUGUAUGUGUGUAGCACGUUAGUGUGUGCAAUCAUGGGCAAAAAGAGAAAAUGGUUUCUGAGGUAAGUUCAUUCUAAUAAUUCAUGUUUUUAACUUUCACUGAACCAUACCACCAUUAUUAGUCUUUUUCAUGGGCUCUGUACAUUUAUUAACUGUGUGAAGUGAAUGAUAUUACCCACAAUUCUGUAAUGCCAAGCCAGCAGAGGGAGCCCUCACCUGAGUACCUCACCUCAGUUGGUUCAGUUCAUACUUAGAAGGGAGAGGUUAUUAUGUGAGUAUAGGAGAGCAUCAGUCUAAGUGGACGUCCAUGACAUGUGGAGUCCCUCAAGGCUCAAUUCUAGUGCCGCUCUUGUUUAGACUGUAUAUGCUCCCAUUGAGUCAAAUAAUGAAAAAGAACCAAAUUGCCUAUCACAGCUAUGCUGAUGAUACCCAGAUUUACCUAGCCUUAAUGCUAAAUGACUACAGCCCCAUUGAUUCCCUCUGCCAACGCAUUGAUGAAAUUAACAGUUGGAUGUGCCAGAACUUUCUUCAGUUAAACAAGGAGAAAACUGAAGUCAUUGCAUUUGGAAGCAAAGAGGAAGUUCUUAAGGUGAAUGCAUACCUUGACUCUAGGGGUCAAACAACUAAAAACCAAGUCAGGAAUCUUAGUGUGAUUCUGGAGUCAGACCUUAGUUUCAGUAGUCAUGUCAAAGCAGUAACUAAAUCAGCAUACUAUAAUCUCAAAAGAUCUCCCAAGAAAACCAUUAGACAGCUGCAGCUCAUCCAGAACACUGCUGCCAGGAUUCUGACUAGAACCAGAAAGUCUUGUCCAAAUCGCUCAAUGGCCUAGGACCUAAAUACAUUGCAGAUAUGCUCACUGAAUAUAAACCUAACAGACCACUCAGAUCAUCAGGAUCGAGUCAGUUAGAAAUACCAAGGGUUCACACAAAACAAGGGGAAUCCACUUUUAGCCAUUAUGCUGCCCACAGUUGGAAUCAGCUUCCAGAAGAGAUCAAAUGUGCUAAAACAUUAGCUACAUUUAAAUCUAGACUCAAAACUCAUCCGUUUAGCUGUGCAUUUACUGAAUGAGCACUGUGCUACGUCCGAACUACUUGCACUACAGUAUGUAUAAUCCUUUUCCAUUUUUAACUGUCUUAAAUUUUAUUUUAAAUCAAUUUUUUAAUUUUUUUAGGUUUUUUUUUUUUGUUUUAUUGCUGUGAUUAUUGUUUUUAUGAUUAUUUUUAUGAUUAUUCUACUUCCUUUUAUGUAAAGCACUUUGAAUUACCUUUGUGUAUGAAAUGUGCUAUAUAAAUAAACUUGCCUUGCUUUGCCUUGCCUGAGUACUGACUGUGUUCCACUCCCUCUGCUUCUCCACUCACUUCCUGUUUGGUGGCUUUAUAAGCCAGAGACUGAGCACAUGGUCCUGGCGAAGUAUUGCCAGUUAUUCUGCCUUACCAAGCAUUUCUCUUGCUUUAUCUGGUCUGCAUUUCGUGUAUUAUUUUCUGCCUGUUUUCCUGACUACCUUUUAUCUGGAUUAUCCCUCAUGUUUUGACUGCCUGAUUGGACUGAUGAUUGUGUUUGGACCCUCUGCCUGCCUACUCCCCCUCGUCUUUUGGAUUACCCCUGUGUAUGGUGACAGAUUGGACUGUUACUCUGGUUUUGACCCUUUGCCUGUCUUAACGUUUCUGUCUGCUAAAAACCCCAACAAUAAACUUCUGCAAAUGGAUUCUAAUUCAGGCUUAGCGCCAUCCUUACACAAUUAUGACCUAUAUUUCUUUUCAGUUUGUUGGAGCCGUGGUUGUGGUCGUGGGUUAGUAGAGAAGAAAAUGAAAAAAUCAAGAUUAUUGAUUUGAGUGAGAGGAAACGGUAUGUUAAAAAUGUAACUGAACAAAUGUGUUUAUUUAUUUUUAAUAAUUAUAAUUUCUUUCCUACAUAUUCUGUUUUUUUUUUCUUUCUGUAAAUCAGAAUACGUCUUCUAAGAUUUCAGAGUUUGUUAGACAUUUCUGUAAUUUUUACAGUUAUUAACUGUAUAUCACCCAGUAUAAAACUGUAAAUUCCCUUUACAGUAAAUAAAGUAAUAACUAUUGCAUUAUGGGAAUUUUCUGUGUCGUCAAACCCCAAAUACAGAGACUUACUGUAUUUUUUAAAAUUGCUGUAUACUACUAUUUGCUGUAACAGCCUCAUUAACAGCUUGGGACGGACUACACUUGAUGUGUUGCAUCGCUUGUAAUGACUGGAACAUCCGUUUGUCCUUCAUGUCAGACACAGCGCAAGCUCUUGAAGUACAUCUGUCAAAAAUAUACCGGGGCAUUACCUUUACUGUAAGCAUCCACUGUAAAUUGUAUAUUUAAUGGGUUCUAUAUUGUCUUCUUUUGUCGAGUCGCACUGCACCACGCCACUCGUGUCCAAUGAAGACGCUGAAGCAGCGGAAAGCGUCGUGGCGUUUGCCCGGGGAUGAACCCGCGAGAGCGGUAGACUUCCGGAGAACAUCUACGCUGUGUGUCGAUGCAAUUUAUGAGAGAUUAAGACCAGCAGGCAACUGCAAUGAAGCAUCAAGAAAGACGAGCAUGCCAACCACACUGAGAAUGAUAGUUCAUGAGAAGACAUUUCUGUCACUAACAAAGUGGAUGGUCAGCAAAGGUGGUGGCCACGUUUUAAAGCAGCACCUGGGUUUUGCAGAUGGCUAUGUAUUUUUUGGCUGCAUGUCUUUUUCUCCAUUAUGUUUCUGUUGCCUAUAGAUACUUUGUGAGGAUAAAUCCAGAGGAUACAACAUAAUGCACUGCAAAACAUCCUAAGACAGGGGAAAUGAUGAAGAUGCACUGUUCCAGCAGUUUAAGACUGUAUUUUUAAGUGUUAUACAUGCAUUGUUUUAAAUAAAGUAUUUGAUAUUUUGUGA